GUACUGUUGAGGGGUCCUAAACUAGGACGAAACAGCUGUCCAGUAC
rnacentral:hammerhead_ribozyme from 1 species